UACGUAGGCAGCAAGCGUUGUUCGGAGUUACUGGGCGUAAAGGGUGUGUAGGCGGUUCUUUAAGUCGCGUGUGAAAGCCCCCGGCUCAACUGGGGAGGGUCACGCGAUACUGUUCGACUCGAAGGCAGGAGAGGGAAGUGGAAUUCCCGGUGUAGUGGUGAAAUGCGUAGAUAUCGGGAGGAACACCAGUGGCGAAGGCGACUCUUUGGCCUGUAACUGACACUGAGGCGCGAAAGCGUGGGGAGCAAACAGG
rnacentral:rRNA from 1 species